rnacentral:rRNA from 1 species
GACGAACGCUGGCGGCGUGCUUAACACAUGCAAGUCGAACGGAAAGGCCAGGCUUUUGUGGGGUGCUCGAGUGGCGAACGGGGGAGUAACACGUGAGUAACAUGCCCUUGACUUUGGGAUAACUUCAGGAAACUGGGGCUAAUACAGGAUAGGAGCUCCUGCUGCAUGGGGGGGGUUGGAAAGUUUCGGCGGUUGGGGCUGGACUCGCGGGUUAUCAGCUUGCUGGUGGGGUAGGGGCUUACAAAGGCUUUGACGGGUAGCCCGCCUGGGAGGGUGACCGGCCACAUUGGGACUGAGAUACGGCCCAGACUCCUACGGGAGGCAGCAGGGGGGAAUAUUGCACAAUGGGCGGAAGCCUGAUGCAGCAACGCCGCGUGCGGGAUGACGGCCUUCGGGUUGUAAACCGCUUUCGCCUGUGACGAAGCGUGAGUGACGGUAAUGGGUAAAAAAGCACCGGCUAACUACGUG